GUCGACUACUCACUAAUAUUCAGAAGUAAUAAUGUUUCCGGAUGGUGUUUUAAGGGUUGGAUGGCUGGGAAAUUUUGGGUAAUGAUAAGUGGGGAGGUAUGGGUCAACAGAAUAGGGGUUUAAGGUUUCUCAACAUCAACGAUUAUUGAUGAUGGAGUAACUAACCUCAACAUCACGAUGGAGGACAUUAUUGAUGGAGUAACUAACCUCAACAUCAACGAUUCACACAAUAAGGAUCGGAUUGAAGUCUCUAAUAUUAAAAAAAAAAGACCCUCUUCUCUAUGUGAACUUUGCCAAGAGGUACAUGAGGCAACAACACAAUGAGGUGGAGCUUUCUGCUCAUGGAAUGGAUUGUUAGUUUCUUUUGGAUACAUAUGGAAACAUGAUGAAGUAUAUUUGAUAUACAUGAAUACCAGAUUUAUGCAUGGGGAGACAGGCUACCUCUGCAUUCACAGCUUGGAUCAGAUUAGACUUUCACAGAAUGUCCAUAUGCGUCCUAUCCCUUUGCGGUGGAUUAAUGCCGUGCACACUUGCAAUACGAUGGCAUGGUUGAUCUAAAUUCAAUUGGAUACAACUGAGAGUGUGGAGAAACUCAAGGACGACGCAUGGACAUGUAUGAGCGAGAGGAUAUUCGUAUGGACCAGAACAAAUCGAAGUGGGGAGGAGAGGUGAAGUCGAAGCUUGGCAAGGACGGAAAUGAUAGCAUCAUGAAUCCGUGCUUUGUGGUACGUUUUGUUGUUCAAAUGAAAUACUGAAUAGAAAGAAUUCAAUUGAAUCAACUCAAGUAGGUCUCUGAUUUAGUAUGUAUACAUGUACAAUAGUCCAUAUAUGAUUGCAUUAGCAAGCCAAGUAGUUACUAUAUUUUAAUGGCUAUGGAGAGGUAUUUCUAAUACCAAGAGGAAGCCUUGGCUUGGAUUUAUAAUUCAUAGAGGAAAUGAUUCUAGGUUAGAUUCAUAUGAUGUACUCAUUCGAUAAAAAUGCAUAACUAAGUACGUUCUAGCGUAAUUAUAAGCCACUCUCUUGGGCAUGGAAUGUUCUUUUGCUCAUUAUCAGGAAAGUGAGACAAAAAACACAUUAUGUUAAGAAAUGAUUUCCAUGUGGAUCACUUGAUAGACAAUAUAGGACCUAUAUGGGCUGUCAUAUUAUGUAAAUUAUCUUCUCCUUGCCAAACAUUCGUUAAAAAUUGUCACCCUGCCUCUGUAACUUAUCGUUGUAGAUUAUAUGCUGGAAGUUUCUUCCCUUUUUCAUAGUUUCAGUAAUGAGUUUGUCCAUAAAAACAGGUUUCUGCUAAUCUAAUAGACAUAACUCAUUAGAUAUGAAUCUUUCACUAAAACUCCCACGUGUUGUUAAGACAUGCUCAUUCAUUUUGGCGAGACCUGGAGACCAACAGUAGGUACUUAUUUCUAGGUGAAGCAAUUCUGAUUUCUAUAGCCAGAACCGAAAAAUUAAAAAACAUAAAUAACACAACGACCAUUACAGAUAGUAGUUAUGACACAAUGAUGGUGGUAUUAGAAGCGAAAUUGGGUCUGAAAACAUUACAGAUGGUAGAUUCCCAGGGUGAAGAACUCUUUUUGAUCCCCCUUCUCUCUCUCGGGAAGUGCCUUUUUGCCACAACGUGCUAUUAGAAUUUCUCUUUUACUUAUCUUUGAAUGGAAUAAGAAUCUGCAAUGGGUGUGCCAACUAACCUUGAAGCACGUAGAAGGACCGGGUUCCUUACAAACUCUGGGUUCAUAAGGAUGCCACGUGUUCCAUGAGUUUGGAAAAUGCUAGCAUUAUUUGUGUUAUUGUUCAUAAAAUAUUAGCUUCACUCAUGUUUUUGUAGCCACAAUUUUUAAUUUAUUAGCUACUCGAUUUUUUUUGAUCCGCUAAUAUUAUGUUUUUCAUCUUUUAUGGUCUUCGCGAGGGUAAACACGACAAGUGUGAGUAUCAGUGAAAAGCAAAGUUUUUCAAAAGUUUCAGUUCUUCAUCUCCUGAUAUGGGAAUCGGUAAUAAUUGUAAAGCCCCACAUAUCGUCUCCCUAUGCUAUAGAUUUAUGUUCUAGCAGUUUCAUCAUUUCUUUUGCUCAUCAAUGGAACAGUUUGGCUUUAACAUUAUCUUUCUCUCUACUUCAUUUGCUUAAUUGUUGCGAUUGCGUACGGGUUUUCUUAAGGAUGGGUUUGUUUGGGGAUCUUUCCUUAAUGUGUCCCUGAGUUCAUGCAGAAAGCAGCCUUUGGAAACUUCUAAGGGUGGUCUUCUCAAGGGGCUAGGUAAGUGACAUAUUUUACUAACUAAUGUUAAAAACUAAGAAAACAUAUUUCUAGAAAUAUCUUGAGCUACAAUUUAUAUCUACUCCGAAGUGUUCACAAGGAAUCAUGUUGAUUUAUCUAUUGCUGAUGAGAGUACAAGCAUCACUAUCUAACGUUCCUCGAGUUACACAAGGUUGUUAUAGAUUAUGGCAAUAUAAGGAAUCAUUAUUUUCCUGUGGUAUGUACUUUAACUACUACAGCUGUUCAUUUAAGAAACAAAUUCGCUGCUAAUGCCUCAUUGUUCUGAAAGGUUGUUUCCUGUUGCUACAUUAGACUUUUGUUUAGGUCAAACAUUGGUAUUACCUGACUGAGCAUUAUCUAAUGAUGUCAUCCAAAUUGCUAUUUGUUCCUGCUUAUUUGAAAUAUUAUUACUAAAAGGGCUUCUCGAAGGAGGAGAGGCGAUCAUAUAUGACUUAAUAGAAAACCUUUUCGAUGUAAAAUAGGUUAAUUUUUUCGACAGUAAUUAAUCAAAAUCAGUGGAAAUCAUUCUGAGACAGUGAUAUUAUAAUUUCGGAAUUAACUAGCACUACUAUCUUACAUGUAAGCAUACUUCCAACGUCCAUCAUAUAUGGUGGUCACCAUGAAAAAUUAUCGGAGGAUGAUGAAGAUUUUCUUAUGUUUCUAAGCAUUAUGCAUAUUGAUUAUGUCUCUAAGCUAAUCAUUAUGCAUAUUUUAUCAGGACUUGAGGCAUAGGAAGAUCUGACCUUGGUAAUAUGCAGAUGAUGUCCUUGAUUGAAGUAGUAGUGUUCAGGGUUCAACUCCCUGUCUUAGCUCAACAGGUAGAGCGCAUGGAUUUUAGUCAUGAGGUUGUGGGUUCAACUCCCAUAGACAGUGACUGAAUCAAUGUUUUGUAUCUUGAUAUUACUUGGUUGUUGGUGUUUUUAAGACUGUGCUCAGGCUGCAUUGUACGCAUUGAAGAAGUUUACUAUGACCCUUGCUAUGUAUAAUGAAAUUUCAUUUUUAGGAUGGAGAGUGCUUAUUAGACUGGGUAUAGAAGCUUUAUCUGGUGGAGCAAAACAGAUUUGAGUUCAGGACAUCUAAUUGAUGUUGUUCGGGAUUAUCUAUCUAACAUAUUUUUUAUAUUAUAAAACAAUGGUCAUCUUGAUGAGGUUGUGUUGGGGAAACUUGCUUAAACGAUAGUUCCUGGUGCCGCAAUAGUUACCGAGUAUUUCUGUGUUAGAGAAGAGCCACCAUCAUUUACCUCUUGAUCAUACAAAUUGAGCUUCUUUUAUUGCAUGGGUCAUUUGUACUUGCUA